rnacentral:tRNA from 1 species
GUGUAUAUAGCUCAAUGGUAGAGUGUGUGCUUAGCAUGCACGAGGUCCUGGGUUCAAUCCCCAGCACC